rnacentral:rRNA from 2 species
GCGGCGUGCCUAAUACAUGCAAGUCGAACGAACUCUGGUAUUGAUUGGUGCUUGCAUCAUGAUUUACAUUUGAGUGAGUGGCGAACUGGUGAGUAACACGUGGGAAACCUGCCCAGAAGCGGGGGAUAACACCUGGAAACAGAUGCUAAUACCGCAUAACAACUUGGACCGCAUGGUCCGAGCUUGAAAGAUGGCUUCGGCUAUCACUUUUGGAUGGUCCCGCGGCGUGUUAGCUAGAUGGUGGGGUAACGGCUCACCAUGGCAAUGAUACGUAGCCGACCUGAGAGGGUAAUCGGCCACAUUGGGACUGAGACACGGCCCAAACUCCUACGGGAGGCAGCAGUAGGGAAUCUUCCACAAUGGACGAAAGUCUGAUGGAGCAACGCCGCGUGAGUGAAGAAGGGUUUCGGCUCGUAAAACUCUGUUGUUAAAGAAGAACAUAUCUGAGAGUAACUGUUCAGGUAUUGACGGUAUUUAACCAGAAAGCCACGGCUAACUACGUGCCAGCAGCCGCGGUAAUACGUAGGUGGCAAGCGUUGUCCGGAUUUAUUGGGCGUAAAGCGAGCGCAGGCGGUUUUUUAAGUCUGAUGUGAAAGCCUUCGGCUCAACCGAAGAAGUGCAUCGGAAACUGGGAAACUUGAGUGCAGAAGAGGACAGUGGAACUCCAUGUGUAGCGGUGAAAAGCGUAGAUAUAUGGAAGAACACCAGUGGCGAAGGCGGCUGUCUGGUCUGUAACUGACGCUGAGGCUCGAAAGUAUGGGUAGCAAACAGGAUUAGAUACCCUGGUAGUCCAUACCGUAAACGAUGAAUGCUAAGUGUUGGAGGGUUUCCGCCCUUCAGUGCUGCAGCUAACGCAUUAAGCAUUCCGCCUGGGGAGUACGGCCGCAAGGCUGAAACUCAAAGGAAUUGACGGGGGCCCGCACAAGCGGUGGAGCAUGUGGUUUAAUUCGAAGCUACGCGAAGAACCUUACCAGGUCUUGACAUACUAUGCAAAUCUAAGAGAUUAGACGUUCCCUUCGGGGACAUGGAUACAGGUGGUGCAUGGUUGUCGUCAGCUCGUGUCGUGAGAUGUUGGGUUAAGUCCCGCAACGAGCGCAACCCUUAUUAUCAGUUGCCAGCAUUAAGUUGGGCACUCUGGUGAGACUGCCGGUGACAAACCGGAGGAAGGUGGGGAUGACGUCAAAUCAUCAUGCCCCUUAUGACCUGGGCUACACACGUGCUACAAUGGAUGGUACAACGAGUUGCGAACUCGCGAGAGUAAGCUAAUCUCUUAAAGCCAUUCUCAGUUCGGAUUGUAGGCUGCAACUCGCCUACAUGAAGUCGGAAUCGCUAGUAAUCGCGGAUCAGCAUGCCGCGGUGAAUACGUUCCCGGGUC